UAGGCUCAACCAAAAAGGAUUUACCUUGAUAGGGUAAAAAUUAAAAAGCCUAA
rnacentral:tRNA from 1 species